ACCUUUAAAGUGUGGCUGCAAAUCUGGGAUGCAGGAGGUGAAAAUUCAUUGUCUAAUCUGUUUCUCAGUUUCCUCUUUCAGAAACGAGAGAUUUUUCAAGACCUUGCUCCACUGCUGUGGCACUCCUUUGGCACUGUUGCUGCACUGCUCCAGGAGAUUGUGUCAAUUUACCCUUCACUUUCACCUCCUACUUUGUCGCCAGUUGCAUCAAACCGUGUCUGCAAUGCACUUGCACUUCUUCAGUGUGUUGCUUCACACCCUGAGACCAGGAUCCCGUUCUUGAAUGCUCACAUCCCACUGUACCUGUACCCGUUCCUGAAUACUACCAGCAAGACAAGACCUUUUGAGUACUUGAGGCUUACCAGCUUGGGUGUUAUUGGUGCUCUUGUGAAGGAAUCUCAACAGGAACUGUUAUUUUUGAAGCAAACAGGCUAA
rnacentral:rRNA from 1 species